UACGUAGGCAGCGAGCGUUGUUCGGAAUUACUGGGCGUAAAGAGUGUGUAGGCGGUUUUCCCAGUCUGUUGUGAAAUCUCCCGGCUUAACUCGGAACGGUCAGCUGAUACUGCUUUGCUAGAGUGCAGAAAGGGCAAUCGGAAUUCUUGGUGUAGCGGUGAAAUGCGUAGAUAUCAAGAGGAACACCUGAGGCGAAGGCGGGUUGCUAGGCUGACACUGACGCUGAGGCGCGAAAGCGUGGGGAGCGAACAGG
rnacentral:rRNA from 1 species